CCGGGAUGGAGGGAGUAAACAGUCACAUCUGUGCCUAGAGACAUUCAAAUAUGUUACCAAAUAAAACAGAGUUUAGGAACAAAAGAUGAUAACAGGAACUGUGAAUGCUGCCCCACGUAUGGGCGACAGAAGCCACGUUGAUGAUCCUGGCGGGGGCGGAUUUCUUUAUGAGGUCCAGCAGAAGAUCUCUGCAGGCCAUGAUGACUCGAGCUCCUGAGGAGGCAAAAUAGAGAUGUUCAGGGCAGUCAUGGAACAUUUCACUUUAAAAAAAGACAGAAAAUCUUCUAGG